rnacentral:rRNA from 1 species
CAAGCCCUGGAAACGGGGUCUAAUACCGGAUAGCACUCCCGCCCUCCUGGGUGGGGGUUGAAAGCUCCGGCGGUGGAGGAUGAGCCCGCGGCCUAUCAGCUGGUUGGUGAGGUAACGGCUCACCAAGGCGACGACGGGUAGCCGGCCUGAGAGGGCGACCGGCCACACUGGGACUGAGACCAGACUCCUACGGGAGGCAGCAGUGGGGAAUAUUGCCCGGCUAACUUCGUGCCAGCAGCCGAUGCAGCGACGCCGCGUGGGGGAUGACGGCCUUCGGGUUGUAAACCUCUUUCAGCAGGGAAGAAGCCCUAGGGUGACGGUACCUGCAGAAGAAGCGCCGGCUAACUACGUGCCAGCAGCCGCGGUAAUACGUAGGGCGCAAGCGUUGUCCGGAAUUAUUGGGCGUAAAGAGCUCGUAGGCGGCUUGUCACGUCGGGUGUGAAAGCCCGGGGCUUAACCCCGGGUCUGCAUUCGAUACGGGCUGGCUGGAGUGUGGUAGGGGAGAUCGGAAUUCCUGGUGUAGCGGUGAAAUGCGCAGAUAUCAGGAGGAACACCGGUGGCGAAGGCGGAUCUCUGGGCCAUUACUGACGCUGAGGAGCGAAAGCGUGGGGAGCGAACAGGAUUAGAUACCCUGGUAGUCCACGCCGUAAACGGUGGGAACUAGGUGUUGGCGACAUUCCACGUCGUCGGUGCCGCAGCUAACGCAUUAAGUUCCCCGCC